rnacentral:rRNA from 1 species
AGAGUUUGAUCCUGGCUCAGGAUGAACGCUGGCGGCGUGCCUAAUACAUGCAAGUCGAACGGAGAGUAGCAAUACUCUUAGUGGCGAACGGGUGAGUAACGCGUUGGUACCUGCCCCGAAGUGAGGGAUAACGGGACGAAAGUCUCGCUAAUACCCCAUGUGCUCUGGAAAGAGUAAAGGAGAAAUCCGCUUUGGGAGGGGCCUGCGUCCCAUCAGCUAGUUGGUAAGGUAACGGCUUACCAAGGCGAUGACGGGUAGGGGACCUGAGAGGGUGAACCCCCACAAUGGAACUGAAACACGGUCCAUACACCUACGGGUGGCAGCAGUAGGGAAUAUUGGUAAUGGGCGCAAGCCUGAACCAGCAACGCCGCGUGUGCGAUGAAGGCCUUCGGGUUGUAAAGCACUUUUCACCGGGACGAGGAAGGACGGUACCGGUGGAAUAAGCCUCGGCUAACUACGUGCCAGCAGCCGCGGUAAAACGUAGGAGGCGAGCGUUAUCCGGAUUUACUGGGUGUAAAGCGCAUGCAGGCGGUUGGCUAAGUUGGAUGUGAAAGCUCCUGGCUUAACUGGGAGAGGUCGUUCAAAACUAGCCGACUAGAGGAUGGUAAGGGAAAGCGGAAUUCCGGGUGUAGUGGUGAAAUGCGCACAUAUCCGGGAGGGAACUACCAGUGGCGAACGGCGGCUUUCUGGACCAUGACUGACGCUCAGAUGCGAAAGCUAGGGUAGCAAACGGGAUUAGAGACCCCGGUAGUCCUAGCCGUAAACGAUGUGAACUUGGCGGUGGUUGGGUAAAACCGAGCACUGCCGAAGCCAACGCGAUAAGUUCACCACCUGGGGACUACGGCCGCAAGGUUAAAACUCAAAGGAAUUGACGGGGGCCCGCACAAGCAGCGGAGCGUGUGGUUUAAUUCGAUGCUACACGAAGAACCUUACCAGGGCUUGACAUGCAAGUGGUAGGGAAGGGAAACCGGACCGACCCUUCGGGGAGCUUGCACAGGUGCUGCAUGGCUGUCGUCAGCUCGUGUCGUGAGAUGUUCGGUUAAGUCCGCUAACGAGCGCAACCCUCGCCGCGUGUUACAAGUGUCACGCGGGACUGCCAGUCUUAAGCUGGAGGAAGGUGGGGAUGACGUCAAGCCAGCAUGGCCUUUAUGUCCUGGGCUACACACACGCUACAAUGGCCGGUACAAUGGGUCGCGAAGCCGCGAGGUGGAGCCAAUCCACAAAGCCGGUCUCAGUUCAGAUUGCAGGCUGCAACCCGCCUGCAUGAAGACGGAGUUGCUAGUAACCGCAGGUCAGCUAUACUGCGGUGAAUACGUUCCCGGGCCUUGUACACACCGCCCGUCACGUCAUGGGAGCUGGUAACACCUGAAGCCGGUAUCCUAACCGUAAGGAGGGAGCCGUCGAGGGUGGGGCCGGUGACUGGGACGAAGUCGUAACAAGGUAGCCGU